UGGGGAAUUUUGGACAAUGGGCGCAAGCCUGAUCCAGCCAUGCCGCGUGAGUGAAGAAGGCCUUCGGGUUGUAAACUCCUGUCGAGUGGGACGAAUGCCGUGAGGGUGAAUACCCCUUGCGGUUGACGGUACCGCUGGAGGAAGCCCCGGCUAACUCCGUGCCAGCAGCCGCGGUAAUACGGAGGGGGCUAGCGUUGUUCGGAAUCAUUGGGCGUAAAGGGCGCGUAGGCGGCCGAUCAAGUCGGAGGUGAAAUCCCUCGGCUCAACUGAGGAAUUGCCUUCGAUACUGUUCGGCUUGAGUCCUGGAGAGGGUAGCGGAAUUCCCGGUGUAGCGGUGAAAUGCGUAGAGACCGGGAAGAACACCAGUGGCGAAGGCGGCUACCUGGACAGGUACUGACGCUGAAGCGCGAAAGCUAGGGGAGCAAACAGGAUUAGAUACCCUGGUAGUCCUAGCUGUAAACGAUGGGCACUUGGUGUUGCGGGUAUCGACCCCUGCAGUGCCGAAGCUAACGCAUUAAGUGCCCCGCCUGGGGAGUACGGUCGCAAGGCUG
rnacentral:rRNA from 1 species